rnacentral:rRNA from 1 species
AUACGGAGGAUCCGAGCGUUAUCCGGAUUUAUUGGGUUUAAAGGGUGCGCAGGCGGCCAUUUAAGUCAGCGGUUAAAUCGUGGGGCUCAACCCCAUUCUGCCGUUGAUACUGGGUGGCUUGAUUGCGGUCGAGGUUGGCGGAAUUCGUUGUGUAGCGGUGAAAUGCAUAGAUAUGACGAAGAACACCGAUUGCGUAGGCAGCUGACCAGACCGCAAAUGACGCUCAUGCACGAAAGUGCGGGGAUCGAACAGGAUUAGAUACCCUGGUAGUCCGCACAGUAAACGAUGAAUACUUGGUUUCGGCGAUAUAAUGUCGGAGGCAAAGCGAAAGCGAUAAGUAUUCCACCUGGGGAGUACGCCGGCAACGGUGAAACUCAAAGGAAUUGACGGGG